UUUGAGAGAGAGUUCAAGAGGGCGUGAAACCGCCGAGAUUGAAACGGAUAGAGUUGACGAAACUCGAUCGCAUUCAUCCGAUCCGCCUAGCGGKUCGGCGGUUGUUGACUUCCUCGAUGAGGGCAACGCCGUCSCUGGCUGUUGGGUGCUAGAUUGGUGUAUUUGCGGUCGGUAUGCGCCGAGAGCUUUGCGAGCGCAUGUUGACGUUGAUGUAGUGGACCACUCCCUCCGGGCGUGGAACCCUGCAUUGAUUGAGGCAUGUCGUUCGUAGGGUGUUGCUGGGUGACGUCUCCGCUAUGGUGGGUCGGCUUUGUUGGGCUGUUGCGGUUGCUGGGUGAUCGCAUGCGAGCGCCUGUAGCUUGCGAUGGKACGAUGAGGUGCGGACGCGCUUGAGACGUGCAUCUCGGUGUGAACGUUGACCACCUAUCCGACCCGUCUUGAAACACGGACCAAGGAGGUCUAACAACGAUGUCGGCAACCCACCCGACCCGUCUUGAAACACGGACCAAGG
rnacentral:rRNA from 1 species